rnacentral:rRNA from 1 species
GACGGACGCUGGCGGCGUGCUUAACACAUGCAAGUCGAACGGGAAGGCCCUUCGGUGUACUCGAGUGGCGAACGGGUGAGUAACACGUGGGUGAUCUGCCCUGCACUUCGGGAUAAGCCUGGGAAACUGGGGCUAUUACCGGAAAGGAGGACAGGCUGCAGGGGUGCUGGUGGAAGGCUUUUGCGGUGUGGGAUGGGUCCGCGGCCUAUCAGCUUGUUGGGGGGGUGAUGGCCUACCAAGGCGACGACGGGUAGCCGGCCUGAGAGGGUGACCGGCCACACUGGGACUGAGAUACGUCCCAGACUCCUACGGGAGGGAGCAGUGGGGAAUACUGCACAAUGUGCGGAAGCUUGAUCCAGCAACGCCGCGUGAGGGAUGACGGCCUUCGGGUUGUAAACCUCUUUCAGCAGGGACGAAGCGCAAGUGACGGUACCUGCAGAAGAAGCACCGGCCAACUACGUGCCAGCCGCCGCGGUAACAC